GGCAUUCUCUUUGUUUCUAUUGGCUCGUUCCUCGCCCUCUUCUGAUGUUUUGUACUGCACAAAGUCAUCCCAGAAGGCCCUCAGCUUUACAUAUUGCUUGAGGUUGAAAUCUGGAGUCUCGUUUUUCUUGACAUAUUUAUUGUACAAAGACUUCUUCCAAUUCUGGAAGAGUACUGCCAUCUUCUUCAUAGUCCAGUCAUAAAUUCGCACCUUCAACUCUUCAUCGUUGGUGUCGAAGGUGAAAACGUCUGUGACGGCUUUCCAAACUAACUCCUUGUCACGAUCAGAGACAAAACUGAUCUCAGGAGCACCUCGCUUCUCUCUCCAUUCACGACAACUGAACGGUAUUUGAUCUCUCACAAGAUAUCCACAGUGAUUAACAUAUUUAUUUACAUGCUCACCAAGUGGUCUGCCUGUAGCUAUCUCAAACUCAGAGAUUACAUAGCGGCCCUCCAACGGCUUCUUUGGCCCUCGUGGAGGUACGCUUCUCCCCGUAGAGGUCGAUCCAGAAGGCUACAUGUACAUAUAGAAACAAAAAUACUAAAUUAAUAACCAAGUAAUAAGUCUAAAACCUAAUGUAAGAGAUGCAUUAUUUAUAUAUGUUUACAUUUACAUACCUCACCAGUAUUUUCUUCUUGUUGCACGACAAGUUGUUGCUCAGGGGCAUUGCCCUCUUGUUGCUCAGGGGCAUUGCCCUCUUGUUGCUCAGUAGGAUUGCCUUGCAUGAUGUCGUGGUAAUCAACGAAGUACUGACUACCGUCGUCGAUUAUAUUUUGAAUGGCAACUUCCAUAUAAUCAGGAUCAUCAUGAGGACGGUUAGCCAUUUCUAUGUCUGCAACCAUACAUAUAUAUAUUCUAUAUAAGAUAAGAAAUACACUAAUACUACUACAAAUGAAAGUGUUGGAGUGCUCUAAAAAUAAUACUAGGAUCUUUUAAGCCAAGUAAUACAUUAGAAUAAAAAACAAUACUAGAAUAAUACAUACAUACAAAAAAUAUUACAUAUAUAUGUGUGUGUAUAUGUAAAAAAAUAAUAUACAUACAUACAAAAAAUAAUACAUAUAUAAAAAAAUAGAACAUACAUACAUACUAUAUAUAUACUAGAAUAAUAUAUUAAAAAAAUAAUACAUACAUACAUACAUACAAACAAUUAUAAUUCAUACAUACAAACUAUAUAUAUGUGUGUAUAUGUACAAAAAAUAAUAUACAUACAUACAAAAAAUAUUACAUAUAUACAAAAAAUAAAACAUACAUACAUACUAUAUAUAUAUACUAGAAUAAUAUAUUAAAAAAAUAAUACAUACAUACAUACAAACAAUUAUAAUUCAUACAUACAAACUAUAUAUGUGUGUGUAUAUGUACAAAAAAUAAUAUACAUACAUACAAAAAAUAAUACAUAUAUAAAAAAAAUAAAACAUACAUACAUACUAUAUAUAUACUAGAAUAAUAUAUUAAAAAAAUAAUACAUACAUACAUACAAACAAUUAUAAUUCAUACAUACAAACUAUAUAUAUGUGUGUGUAUAUGUACAAAAAAUAAUAUACAUACAUACAAAAAAUAUUACAUAUAUACAAAAAAUAAAACAUACAUACAAAAAAAUUACAUAUAUAUACAAAAAAAAUAUAUACAAAAAAUUACAUAUAUACAUACUAUAUAUACUAGAAAUAUAUACAAAAAAUUACAUAUAUAUAAAAAAAUAUAUAUACAUACUAUAUAUAAUAUACAUACUAUAUAUAAUACUACAAAUCAAAACACCAUAUAUAUAAUAUACAUAUACACAAAAAAAAUUACAUAUAUAUACAUAAAAAUAUAUACAAAAAAUAAUACUACAAAUCAAAACACCAUAUAUACAUAUAUAUAUAUAUAUGUAUAUAUAUGGUGUUUUUAUUUGUAAUAUUAUUUUUUUUAUAUAUUUUUAUGUAUAUAUAUGUAAUAUUUUUUGUGUGUAUAUAUAUAUAUUUCUCUGGUCUAGUGUAUAUAAAUACGUAAUUAAUCAAUGGCGUCGUUCUCGAUCUAUACUUAGCACACAGCCGGCCGGAGAAGAUCGCGCGUGGGGA
rnacentral:lncRNA from 1 species